rnacentral:rRNA from 1 species
GACGAACGCUGGUGGCGUGCUUAACACAUGCAAGUCGUGCGGUAAGGCCCUUUCGGGGUUACACGAGCGGCGACCGGGUGAGUAACACGUGAGCAACCUGCCCUUCACUUUGGGAUAACUGCCGGAAACGGUGGCUAAUACCGGAUAUGACUUCCUCACGCAUGUGGGGUGGUGGAAAGCUUUCGGGUGGUGGGGGAUGGGCUCGCGGGCUAUCCGCUUGUUGGUGGGGUGGUGGCCUACCAAGGCUUCGACGGGUAGCCGGCCUGGGAGGGUGACCGGCCACACUGGGACUGAGACACGGCCCAGACUCCUACGGGAGGCAGCAGUGGGGAAUAUUGGACAGUGGGCGAAAGCCUGAUCCAGCAACGCCGCGUGAGGGAUGACGGCCUUCGGGUUGUAAACCUCUUUCGCCUGCGACGAAGCGAGAGUGACGGUAGCAGGUAAAGAAGCACCGGCCAACUACGUG